CUGUCCCAUCAUGUUUCGCCAUCAGCCGCUCCUUCAACAGAGGUUUCCUUACAUCUAGGGAUACCCAGAUCCUCAUAAAGUCGUUGAUAGAGAACUGAUCAUUCUUGUCAUCGUAAGCGAGGAAGCGAAUAACAAGUUCCACCAUUGCCCGACCGACCACUUCGGAGAAGUAACCUGGCUGCAAAUUGUGGAUCUGAAGCCAGAGAUCAACGUGGUGCAGAGGAACUCUUUUCGGAUUAUCG
rnacentral:lncRNA from 1 species